rnacentral:rRNA from 1 species
AGUGAACGCUGGCGGUAGGCCUAACACAUGCAAGUCGAACGGCAGCACAGUAAGAGCUUGCUCUUACGGGUGGCGAGUGGCGGACGGGUGAGGAAUACAUCGGAAUCUACUUUUUCGUGGGGGAUAACGUAGGGAAACUUACGCUAAUACCGCAUACGACCUACGGGUGAAAGCAGGGGAUCUUCGGACCUUGCGCGAUUGAAUGAGCCGAUGUCGGAUUAGCUAGUUGGCGGGGUAAAGGCCCACCAAGGCGACGAUCCGUAGCUGGUCUGAGAGGAUGAUCAGCCACACUGGAACUGAGACACGGUCCAGACUCCUACGGGAGGCAGCAGUGGGGAAUAUUGGACAAUGGGCGCAAGCCUGAUCCAGCCAUACCGCGUGGGUGAAGAAGGCCUUCGGGUUGUAAAGCCCUUUUGUUGGGAAAGAAAAGCAGCAGGCUAAUACCCCGCUGUUCUGACGGUACCCAAAGAGUAAGCACCGGCUAACUUCGUG